ACCCUAGUGGCAUAGUGGUUAAGUGCUAUGGCUGCUAACCAAGAGGUCGGCAGUUCGAAUCUGCCAGGGGUU
rfam:Loxodonta africana unplaced genomic scaffold scaffold_68, whole genome shotgun sequence.